rnacentral:rRNA from 1 species
GGUCAAGUUAUUAAGGGUGCAGGGCGGAUGCCUUGGCACUAGGAGCCGAUGAAGGACGUGAUAAGCUGCGAUAAGCUUCGGGGAGUUGCACGUAAACUUUGAUCCGAAGAUUUCCGAAUGAGGAAACUCACUUAGAGUAAUGUCUAAGUAUCAUUAAGUGAAUACAUAGCUUAAUGAGGGGAACUCAGGGAACUGAAACAUCUAAGUACCUGAAGGAAGAGAAAGAAAUUCGAUUCCGUAAGUAGCGGCGAGCGAACGCGGAUUAGCCCAAACCAAUAAAGUUUUCUUUAUUGGGGUUGCGGACAUAUCAUAACGAAGAGGUAUCGUAAUUGAAGAGGUUUGGAAAGACCCACCACAGAAGGUAAUAGUCCUGUAUGUUAAACGAGAAGACUUCAGAUAUGAUCCAGAGUACCACGGGACACGUGAAACCCUGUGGGAAGCAGGAGGGACCACCCUCCAAGGCUAAAUACUACCUAGUGACCGAUAGCGUAUAGUACCGUGAGGGAAAGGUGAAAAGAACCCCGGGAGGGGAGUGAAAUAGAACCUGAAACCCUGCACUUACAAGCUGUGGAAGCACAUUUCUUGUGUGACCGCGUACUUUUUGUAGAACGGGCCAACGAGUUACGUUAAGUAGCAAGGUUAAGCACUUAAGGUGUGGAGCCGUAGCGAAAGCGAGUUUUAACUGAGCGUUCAGUUACUUGACGUAGACCCGAAACCGGGCGACCUACCCAUGAGCAGGAUGAAGCGAAAGUAAAAUUUCGUGGAGGUCCGAACCCACGAGCGUUGAAAAGCUCGGGGAUGACUUGUGGGUAGCGGUGAAAUUCCAAUCGAGCCCGGAGAUAGCUGGUUCUCCCCGAAAUAGCUUUAGGGCUAGCCUCAAGGUGAGAGAUACGGAGGUAGAGCACUGAAUGUCCUAGGGGGUAUUGCACCUACCGAAGACUAUCAAACUCCGAAUGCCGUCAUCUUAUACUUGGGAGUCAGACUGUGGGUGAUAAGAUUCAUAGUCGAAAGGGCAACAGCCCAGAUCGUCAGCUAAGGUCCCUAAAUGUAAGUUAAGUGGUAAAGGAUGUGGGAUUGCACAGACAACCAGGAUGUUGGCUUAGAAGCAGCCACUCAUUCAAAGAGUGCGUAAUAGCUCACUGGUCGAGUGAUCCUGCGCCGAAGAUUUCCGGGGCUAAAACUUACUACCGAAGCUACGGCAUCAGUAAUGAUGGGUAGGGGAGCUUCCCAUACGGGUUGAAGCAUGACCGUAAGGACAUGUGGACAGUAUGGGAGUGAGAAUGUUGGCAUGAGUAGCGAGAUGUGGGUGAGAAUCCCACAGGCCGUAAACCCAAGGUUUCCAGGGGAAGGUUCGUCCGCCCUGGGUUAGUCGGGACCUAAGCUGAGGCCGAAAGGCGUAGGUGAUGGACAACAGGUUGAUAUUCCUGUACUACCGAUAACCGUUUGAGAGAAGGGAUGACACAGUAGGAUAAGCUAAGCACACUGUUGGUUAUGUGUGCCCAAGCAUUGAGGCAGUCAAAGUAGGCAAAUCCGCUUUGAUAAUGCUGGGAUGUGAUGGGGAGCGAAAUUUAGUAGCGAAGUAGCUGAUUUCACACUGUCAAGAAAAGUCUCUAUCGAGGUUAAAGGUACCCGUACCGCAAACCGACACAGGUGGGUGAGGAGAGUAUCCUAAGGCCAGCGAGAGAACUGUUGUUAAGGAACUCGGCAAAAUGACCCCGUAACUUAGGGAUAAGGGGUGCCACCAUCAGGUGGCCGCAGAGAAUAGGCCCAAGCGACUGUUUACCAAAAACAUAGGUUUCUGCUAAGUCGCAAGACGAUGUAUAGGAGCUGACGCCUGCCCGGUGCUGGAAGGUUAAGGGGAUCUGUUAGAGCAAUCGAAGCAGUGAACUUAAGCCCCAGUAAACGGCGGCCGUAACUAUAACGGUCCUAAGGUAGCGAAAUUCCUUGUCGGGUAAGUUCCGACCCGCACGAAAGGCGUAACGAUUUGGGCACUGUCUCAACAACAGACUCGGUGAAAUUGUAAUUCCGGUGAAGAUGCCGGAUACCUGCGACAGGACGGAAAGACCCCAUGGAGCUUUACUGUAGCUUGACAUUGGGUCUUGGUACUACAUGUACAGGAUAGGUGGGAGGCUUUGAAACCAGGACGCCAGUUUUGGCGGAGCCAUCCUUGGGAUACCACCCUUGUAGUACUGGGACUCUAACCAUAGGCCAUGAAUCUGGUCUUGGGACACUGUCAGGUGGGCAGUUUGACUGGGGCGGUCGCCUCCCAAAAGGUAACGGAGGCGCUCAAAGGUUCUCUCAGUACGGUCGGAAAUCGUACGUAGAGUGUAAAGGCAAAAGAGAGCUUGAUUGCAAGACAUACAGGUCGAGCAAGGAUGAAAAUCGGACUUAGUGAUCCGGUGGUUCUGCGUGGAAGGGCCAUCGCUCAACGGAUAAAAGCUACCCUGGGGAUAACAGGCUUAUCUCCCCCAAGAGUCCACAUCGACGGGGAGGUUUGGCACCUCGAUGUCGGCUCAUCACAUCCUGGGGCUGUAGUAGGUCCCAAGGGUUGGGCUGUUCGCCCAUUAAAGUGGUACGCGAGCUGGGUUCAGAACGUCGUGAGACAGUUCGGUCCCUAUCCGUCGCAGGCGUAGGAAAUUUGAGAAGACCUGUCCUUAGUACGAGAGGACCGGGAUGGACGUACCUCUGGUGUACCAGUUGUUCUGCCAAGGGCAUGGCUGGGUAGCUAUGUACGGAAUGGAUAAGCGCUGAAAGCAUCUAAGCGCGAAGCCAACUUCAAGAUAAGAUUUCCCACCGCAAGGGUAAGAUCCCAGAAAGACUAUCUGGUUGAUAGGUCGAAGGUGUAAGUGCAGCAAUGUAUUUAGCUUAUCGAUACUAAUAGGUCGAGGACUUGACCAA